CGCACAUUGCACUCCCUGGUAUUCCGGAGAGUAUGCCUGUUUCAGAAUCGACUGAACCUACCUUCCCUUUUCUGGUUCUGGCUUUAAGCGCCAUUGCUAAGAGAAAGGAGAGAUUGAGCCCUUUGUUCUUUAAGUCCAAUGGCUUCAAAUUCAAAAUCCAUUUGCGAAAGCUGUCCAAAGCAGCGCCUACAUCUGUCGUGCAACAAGUUGAUCACAAAGAUGUUGGUAUUAAAGCAUGUUGGAUAAUCAUUUCAAAACAGAAAACAUAGUAUGUCGGUUUCGACCUUGACUGGAAGAAAUAGCAUUACUGUUUUUCUGAUCUUUGAUCUGAAAUCAGGCAAGAAAACCCGCUGAACUUAA
rnacentral:misc_RNA from 1 species